rnacentral:tRNA from 1 species
GCGAAAGUGGCGGAAUUGGUAGACGCCCAGGAUUUAGGUUCCUGUGCCGCAAGGCGUGCGAGUUCGAGUCUCGCCUUUCGCACCA